rnacentral:rRNA from 1 species
UACGGAGGGUGCAAGCGUUAUCCGGAUUCACUGGGUUUAAAGGGUGCGUAGGAGGGCAGGUAAGUCAGUGGUGAAAUCUCCAGGCUUAACCUGGAAACUGCCAUUGAAACUGUUUGUCUUGAGUACAUUUGAGGCGGGCGGAAUGUGUCAUGUAGAGGUGAAAUUCUUAGAUAUGACACAGAACACCAAUUGCGAAGGCAGCUCGCUAAACUGUAACUGACGCUGAUGCACGAAAGCGUGGGUAGCAAACAGG